rnacentral:rRNA from 1 species
AGGGUUUGAUCAUGGCUCAGAUUGAACGCUGGCGGAAUGCUUUACACAUGCAAGUCGAACGGUAGAGGGGGCAACCCCUUGAGAGUGGCGAACGGGUGAGUAAUGUAUCGGAACGUGCCCAGUCGUGGGGGAUAACGUAGUGAAAAUUACGCUAAUACCGCAUACGAUCUAUGGAUGAAAGCGGGGGAUCGCAAGACCUCGCGCGAUUGGAGCGGCCGAUAUCAGAUUAGGUAGUUGGUAGGGUAAAGGCCUACCAAGCCAACGAUCUGUAGCUGGUCUGAGAGGACGACCAGCCACACUGGAACUGAGACACGGUCCAGACUCCUACGGGAGGCAGCAGUGGGGAAUUUUGGACAAUGGGCGAAAGCCUGAUCCAGCCAUUCCGCGUGCAGGAUGAAGGCCCUCGGGUUGUAAACUGCUUUUGUACAGAACGAAAAGGUUUCUAUUAAUACUAGGAGCUCAUGACGGUACUGUAAGAAUAAGCACCGGCUAACUACGUGCCAGCAGCCGCGGUAAUACGUAGGGUGCAAGCGUUAUCCGGAUUCACUGGGUUUAAAGGGUGCGUAGGCGGGUAGGUAAGUCAGUGGUGAAAUCCUGGAGCUCAACUCCAGAACUGCCAUUGAUACUAUCUAUCUUGAAUAUUGUGGAGGUAAGCGGAAUAUGUCAUGUAGCGGUGAAAUGCAUAGAUACCAUCAGGAACACCGGGUGGCGAAGGCGCCACUCUGGAUCGACACUGACGCUGAGGAACGAAAGCAUGGGUAGCAAACAGGAUUAGAUACCCUGGUAGUCCAUGCGGUAAACGGUGGGCACUAGGUGUGGGUUUCUAUUAACGAAAUCCGCGCCGUCGCUAACGCAUUAAGUGCCCCGCCUGGGGAGUACGGUCGCAAGACUAAAACUCAAAGGAAUUGACGGGGGCCCGCACAAGCAGCGGAGCGUGUUGCUUAAUUCGAUGCUACGCGAAGAACCUUACCUAGGUUUGACAUGUUUGGAAAAGCAACAGAGAUGUUGUGUCCGCAAGGGCCAAACACAGGUGGUGCAUGGCUGUCGUCAGCUCGUGUCGUGAGAUGUUGGGUUAAGUCCCGCAACGAGCGCAACCCUUAUCCAAUGUUGCCAGCAAGUUAUGUUGGGGACUCAUUGGAGACUGCCGGGGUUAACUCGGAGGAAGGUGGGGAUGACGUCAAGUCCUCAUGCCCCUUAUGUCUAGGGCUGCAAACACGCUACAAUGGCCGAUACAAAGGGUUGCCUGCUCGCGAGAGUUAGCUAAUCCCGUAAAGUCGGUCUCAGUUCGAAUUGAAGUCUGCAACUCGACUUCAUGAAGCUGGAGUUGCUAGUAAUCCCGGAUCAGCACGCCGGGGUGAAUACGUUCCCGGGCCUUGUACACACCGCCCGUCACACCACGAAAGUCGGCAACACCCAAAGCCGGUGGCCUAACCGCAAGGAAGGAGCCGUCUAAGGUGGGGUCGGUGAUUGGGGUGAAGUCAUAACAAGGUAACCGUA